UGAUGUCUUUGCUGAGGGUCACACUGAGCUACCAGCUGCAUCAUGAGCAUCUUUAGAAGUCAGCACCUUGGCAAAAGACAUGAAGACCAAAAUCAAGAACUACAAGACUGCCCCUUUUGACAGACGCUUCCCCAACCAGACUAGGAACUGCUGGCAGAACUUCCUGGACUUCCACCUCUGUGAGAAGGCAACAACCGCUGAAGGGUGUGAUGUCUCUAUGUGUGAAUGAUACCAGUGUGUGUACAAGUUCUUCUGCCCUGCUCCUGGGUUUCAGUCUAGGAUGACAGCUGGGCUAAAGGCACAUUUCCUGGAAAGAUCUGAACUGGCUGCAUCUUACCCCUCCUAUGUCCUUCAUCCUUCUCCCAGGCAAAGGGAAACCUGGGUACAUGGUGAUCCUCACCCUGGGGCCCUGAAUCAUGACUUAACUAUGAAUAAAAAUGCUUUGGAAAAGCAGGGGGAAAGAAGUGGAAAUAACAAAAAAUAA
rnacentral:lncRNA from 1 species